rnacentral:tRNA from 1 species
UAUAUUUUAAUGUAAUAGCAUAAAAAUUUUUGAUAUUUUAAGAGAUAAAAUAAUUAUCAAAUAUAA